UACGUAGGUGGCAAGCGUUGUCCGGAAUUAUUGGGCGUAAAGCGCGCGCAGGUGGUUCCUUAAGUCUGAUGUGAAAGCCCCCGGCUCAACCGGGGAGGGUCAUUGGAAACUGGGGAACUUGAGUGCAGAAGAGGAAAGUGGAAUUCCACGUGUAGCGGUGAAAUGCGUAGAGAUGUGGAGGAACACCAGUGGCGAAGGCGACUUUCUGGUCUGUAACUGGCACUGAGGCGCGAAAGCGUGGGGAGCGAACAGG
rnacentral:rRNA from 1 species